GGAGAAUAUGAAUCAACAGAAGA
rnacentral:snRNA from 1 species